ACCUGGUUGCAGUAGAAUGCUGGACCCUGACUUUCGCCAUAAUGAAUACGAUAAAGUUCCCCCUACCUGACGCAUCAAUCUGUUGCAGCCAACUGUCUGUCGUCUGUCAUCGAGAACGAACACCUACAAAAAAGCAUCCAUGCAGAUCGGAUUUGUGUCUGGCGGAGACCCUCCGAUGCCUAAGUUGGAGAGAAAAGUUGG
rnacentral:lncRNA from 1 species